UACAGAGGGGGCAAGCGUUGUUCGGAAUUACUGGGCGUAAAGGGCGCGUAGGCGGCCUUCUAAGUCGAACGUGAAAUCCCCGGGCUCAACCCGGGAACUGCGUCCGAUACUGGAAGGCUUGAAUCCGGGAGAGGGAUGUGGAAUUCCAGGUGUAGCGGUGAAAUGCGUAGAUAUCUGGAGGAACACCGGUGGCGAAGGCGGCCGCCUGGAUCGAUACUGACGCUGAGGUGCGAAAGCGUGGGGAGCAAACAGG
rnacentral:rRNA from 1 species